rnacentral:rRNA from 1 species
GAUGAACGCUGGCGGCGUGCCUAAUACAUGCGAGUCGAGCGAACGGACGAGAAGCUUGCUUCUCUGAUGUUAGCGGCGGACGGGUGAGUAACACGUGGAUAACCUACCUAUAAGACUGGGAUAACUUCGGGAAACCGGAGCUAAUACCGGAUAAUAUUUUGAACCGCAUGGUUCAAAAGUAAAAGACGGUCUUGCUGUCACUUAUAGAUGGAUCCGCGCUGCAUUAGCUAGUUGGUAAGGUAACGGCUUACCAAGGCAACGAUGCAUAGCCGACCUGAGAGGGUGAUCGGACAGCCUGGAACUGAGACACGGUCCAGACUCCUACGGGAGGCAGCAGUAGGGAAUCUUCCGCAAUGGGCGAAAGCCUGACGGAGCAACGCCGCGUGAGUGAUGAAGGUCUUCGGAUCGUAAAACUCUGUUAUUAGGGAAGAACAUAUGUGUAAGUAACUGUGCACAUCUUGACGGUACCUAAUCAGAAAGCCACGGCUAACUACGUG